CACAAAUCUUUUUUCCAAAUCAAUUUUCGUGGAACUGUAUAUAUUCCCACAGAUGGGCUUCUGCUUUUUUCCAAGAGAUGGUUUGCAGGGGAGGUGGUUUCAAACUAAUGACUCGCCCUAAGGAGAAAAUGCAGCUUCAUUCAUGUAACAAUUGAAACCAUUAGGAUAGUCAUAGAGUGCAUACAGACUGGGUAUAAAGAAGUACUUGCAUGUUAUUAGAAAAAUGAGUACUGCUGAUUUUUGGAGCUUGUGAAGGUUAAGAAACGUGAAAGAAGUCUUGAGAAAAGGAUGGAGACUCAGAGUACUGUACCAAACAGAGGUCCAAGGAGCAGAGAUGAAAACCAAAUCUCAGAAUGGUCUGAAUUAUGUGCCUUGACUUAAAAGAUGAGUUCUCAGUCGUGGCAAACCCAAAGAGAGCAGGCAAUUUUAAUUUGGCAAGCUCUGUACAAAUCCAAUCACCAUUUGGAACUCCAGGAGGAUUGUUCUACCUUGAUGAAUAACAAGAUGCAUUGGAAUGUGCUUGGGAUUGUUCUUUCAGCCCUGGCAGAUCAUAAAGGUUUGCUCUGACAAAUGCUACCUUCAAGAACUGCUUUUUCUAAGUAUCAGAGGACUAGUGGUGCAGUACACAGCCUGUACACCAUCUGCAUCCCAAAUUUCUUAAUGUACUUGAUGAUUAGAAGCCAAAACUAUGUGGUAAGGAAGCUAGGUUGAGUGCCUUUUAAUAAGGUCUCAUGGCCUUAAGACCUCUCCUUCACUUAGUACUGUUCCCCAGGGUGCUCUUCAGGCCUCCCUCAUUCUGCGCCUCAUAGAUACAUCAAGAGUCCUCUUACACUAAAGAGCAAAACUUGAAGCCAUCUCCAGAAUUCUAAUUUUUGUGCAUCAGCAUCUGGAAAUCUCGGCAUUUUUGGCAAAACACAGCUGGACUCCUGGAUGUGCUACAUCUUGAAAGAACUGGGAGGAAGACCUGGGUAUCUUCUACCUCUGGUGCUUUCAUCAGAGCUUGAGUGAAAAGGCUGGACUAUAUUUGACUUGUUCACUGUCAACUGCUGGCUUUACAAAAGUCUCUUCCAGGAAUAGAAUGGUAAAGACAGCUUCCAACUUCUGGCAGUGCAAACAGUUGGACGUAGUAAUGGUGGUAAAGGCACUUCGGAGUCUGGAGGAGGACAUCUGCUCAUGGCCUAACAUGAAGUUAUCUGAGACAUUGAGAAAACAAAAGCAAGUUGCAAGAGAAGCACUGGAUAUGGACUGAUCCAAAUAAAGGAUUCAUCUCUGAUUCCACUGUUUACCAUGGAUGGAAGUUUCAACUGGAAUUCAUUGGUUACAUCAACGUGUCAUUUAGCAUCAUGAGGAGAACCUUCUCCGAUGAAAACGUCUUUAAUGCUCCUAAAAUUACAGAGGUACCUGGGUCUGCAGCUGUAUAAACUACAUACCUCUUCUGCUUUAUGAUUUCAGAAGACAAAAGAAAAUGAGAAUGAGCAAAUAAAAUGCCAUCCCUCUUCAGACAAAAAAAAAAAAAAAAGUCUAUAUUAGAGUUCACAGAUACAUCUGUUAGCUUUCAGGCAUUAUUCACAGCAACAACGUCUGCCUCUUCUGCUUUCCUCACAGCAGGAAAGUGAAAAGCUGAAAAACAACUGUUCCCUUUACCUCUCCCCAACAUCUAAUAUUUUCUUCUCCUUAGUCAAGUAUAUAGCUCUGUCUUCGCAUCUGUAUUUUCUCAGUUGUUGUAAUCCAGCAUUCUCUGGGCUGCCUUUUGCUCUCUGUUCCAAGAUAUAUUAUUACCUCCUGUAUAUUAUGCUCUCUUCCUUGUUUUGUACCCCACUACGUUUCUGGCACAUUACAUGCCCCAUGUGCUGGAUGAGAACAUUACCUGAUCCCAUGGUCGUAAAUAACUCUGUUAAUAGAUGUAGAUUAAUGCCAGGUUUUGAAUAAGGCUACUUCUACAGCUGACUUUCAAGUGUAUGAGUACAAACCAGCCUCAUCUGAACCGGUUUUCACUGCCACGGUGCUUUAUCCUGCAAACUGUAAGCAGGAUCCCUUGGUCCCUAUCUCAAGACAUAACCCUAUGAAUUAACAAAAAGCAGUAAGAUCCCCUGUCAAUCCCCCCAGCCACUUACUCAGCUAGCCAACUGCAUGCUGCUUGAUAGGAUGUUUUUAACUGAUAUCUCCAGUCCCUAUUGUAUUAGACACCAAAAGUACUUAGUAGCUGUACGUGGUCUGAUGUAUUUUGCAAGGGAUACACUCACUGGUUAUUAACUGGAUAAAACCUGGUAUUAGAUUGGCUUUGUUUAAUUUCUAACGUUAUUUACUCUGCGAUAACUGACUAACCUCAGUUAACAUUGUGAUUUGUUUGCCCUGUAAUGACCAGAUAUUCCAUUACAUUAUGUAAAUUAUUUGCAUAGUGAUUGUGAUUUAAUGUUAUUGGUAAUUAGAAUUAUUUGCCUGCUGGUAAUGCUGUAUAAAUGAUCUGUCAUUAAUCAUGGAGCACGCCUUACCAAGAGCUCUAAUGAGAAAAGCUGCAGUAUAUGUCACUAAGCUAUCCUUAUCCUAUGGGCCAUUGUUUCACAUCACAGGAAACUUGUUUCUGUAUUUAUUGAUCAUUUAUUGAUUGUUACCCUAAAGACAUGGGACUUUGUAAUUGUUUCUGUAUUCUUUGAUGUAGGAUAUCACCUGAGAUCUUUCAGACUGAGUCACAACAAUCAAAACAUAUAUCUGAUAAAAUUUCCUCAUCAGAUUUUGGCACCUGUAGUUUUGAAUCACACUGGUAGUUUCACCUUUCAAAGGAGGAAAAUCCAUAGUCCAAGCCCCUCACAUCAGUAUCCAUGGAGUCAAAGGCACAUCUUUGCCAAAGGGGA
ensembl:lncRNA